rfam:Papilio machaon contig47385, whole genome shotgun sequence.
UAAAAGGCCCUUUUGAGGGCCGCAAAUAUAUUCGAUGCAACGCUA